UUUUGUGAGAUAUUGCGAGUGUAUGUGUGACUGUAACUUCAGUAGUCUACCUAGUUACUGCCCACCUGAGUUGAAGACAUUCUGUAGCUACUACAUUUGCAGAUAGUGGGCUUCCGAGGAAAUCUUCACUAUUGGAUAGAUUUGAUUGCUAGCGUGUCGACGAUAAGAAGGAAUUUUUUUGACAUUUGAUAAGACGGCUACUCGGGUCGGGCCAUGUUUAGUAAAGAGAUGGUUUUUGUGACAUCCCAUGGGCCGACUGUUCUUCUAAAUCUGGUUUUGCUGAGAGGAUUGUAAAAAUAAUGGUAUUCGUGGAGAGAAAUUGGAGGAGGUUGGCUUGAGCAUAUGGGAUACACUGGACUAUUUGGGUCAGAUGGAGAAUAUGGUACCAGAGUUCUUGUUGGUGAUGGUGAAGUAUUGGGUGAAUUGGCUGGGAUUAUAUCCAUUGGCAUAUUGCCUCUGUUGGUAUCCAUAUUUUUAUUUGUAUUAAAUAAUUGAAGCCCUAAAGAUAAUUCGGCUGGGUCAGAGUGGUCUGUUUUGCCCCCUUGCAAAAAUUCUCGUGUCAAAAAAUCAGGUAGAGCAUUAGAAAUACCUGUAAGAUGUUCAAUGGUAAAAUCAAAGGCAGAUAAGAUAGCUUGCCAUUGAGCAAAGAUCUGUUUGGAUACUAAAUUUUUCAUA